rnacentral:snRNA from 1 species
CUCAUUUUUUAGUCUGUUGGCUAAGAUCAAGUGUAAUAUUUGUUUUACCAGUUCAAUAUCUGAUAUAUGAACAUAUGUUCACUUUGACAUUAAAUUCAUUUAUUAUGGGUAUUUUUAUCUGAUAUAUGAACAUAUGUUGAGUAACGUCGCAACGCACGGGUA